UGGUGGGUAGUUUGACUGGGGCGGUCUCCUCCUAAAGAGUAACGGAGGAGCACGAAGGUUGGCUAAUCCUGGUCGGACAUCAGGAGGUUAGUGCAAUGGCAUAAGCCAGCUUGACUGCGAGCGUGACGGCGCGAGCAGGUGCGAAAGCAGGUCAUAGUGAUCCGGUGGUUCUGAAUGGAAGGGCCAUCGCUCAACGGAUAAAAGGUACUCCGGGGAUAACAGGCUGAUACCGCCCAAGAGUUCAUAUCGACGGCGGUGUUUGGCACCUCGAUGUCGGCUCAUCACAUCCUGGGGCUGAAGUAGGUCCCAAGGGUAUGGCUGUUCGCCAUUUAAAGUGGUACGCGAGCUGGGUUUAGAACGUCGUGAGACAGUUCGGUCCCUAUCUGCCGUGGGCGCUGGAGAACUGAGGGGGGCUGCUCCUAGUACGAGAGGACCGGAGUGGACGCAUCACUGGUGUUCGGGUUGUCAUGCCAAUGGCACUGCCCGGUAGCUAAAUGCGGAAGAGAUAAGUGCUGAAAGCAUCUAAGCACGAAACUUGCCCCGAGAUGAGUUCUCCCUGACCCUUUAAGGGUCCUGAAGGAACGUUGAAGACGACGACGUUGAUAGGCCGGGUGUGUAAGCGCAGCGAUGCGUUGAGCUAACCGGUAC
rnacentral:rRNA from 1 species